rnacentral:rRNA from 1 species
GACGAACGCUGGCGGCGUGCUUAACACAUGCAAGUCGAACGGAAAGGCCCUGCUUUUGUGGGGUGCUCGAGUGGCGAACGGGUGAGUAACACGUGAGUAACCUGCCCUUGACUUUGGGAUAACUUCAGGAAACUGGGGCUAAUACCGGAUAGGAGCUCCUGCUGCAUGGUGGGGGUUGGAAAGUUUCGGCGGUUGGGGAUGGACUCGCGGCUUAUCAGCUUGUUGGUGGGGUAGUGGCGUACCAAGGCUUUGACGGGUAGCCGGCCUGAGAGGGUGACCGGCCACAUUGGGACUGAGAGACGGCCCAGACGCCUACGGGAGGCAGCAGUGGGGAAUAUUGCACAAUGGGCGGAAGCCUGAUGCGGCAACGCCGCGUGCGGGAUGACGUCCUUCGGGUUGUAAACCGCUUUCGCCUGUGACGAAGCGUGAGUGACGGUAAUGGGUAAAGAAGCACCGGCUAACUACGUG